UACGGAGGGUGCGAGCGUUGUCCGGAAUCACUGGGCGUAAAGGGCGUGUAGGUGGUUGCGUAAGUCUGGCGUGAAAUUUUUCGGCUUAACCGGGAAAGGUCGUCGGAUACUGCGUAGCUAGAGGACGGUAGAGGCGUGUGGAAUUCCGGGUGUAGUGGUGAAAUGCGUAGAGAUCCGGAGGAACACCAGUGGCGAAGGCGACACGCUGGGCCGUACCUGACACUGAUGCGCGACAGCAUGGGGAGCAAACAGG
rnacentral:rRNA from 1 species